GGGGGUGUAGCUCAGUUGGAGACCAUUUGACUGCAGAUCAAGAGGUCUCCAGUUCAAAUCUGGAUGCCCCCU
rnacentral:tRNA from 1 species